rnacentral:lncRNA from 1 species
CCGUCUAAUCAAGGUUUAGUGAGUUAAACUCACCGGAUUAGCGAGCCGAGCGGACCAAAACGACGAGGACGACGCGAGGAUCGACUUUCCUCAAAGCGGGCCGAGCAUCCGGGCUCGGGAAGGCGGCCAAAACGGCCCACGAAGGGGCUGCCAUACCCACUUUCUUCUUCUCUGCUUGCUGCUGGUUGGGGGCGAAGGAGGGCAGAUCCGGGGCUGGUUCGGGCGGAGGAACGGCGGAGGAGCUGCGGCAGUGCCGUGCGGCCAACGGCGGGGUCUCAUGGUGGCUAGAGGCGGCGGAGGGAGCUCCGGCGAUUCCUGCACGAGCUGGACAGCAGCUCGGGAUGUCGGCCAAACCAGGGACGACACGGCUGAAGGCGGAGACGCGCGGGCGGCACUCGACGGUGACGACUUCAGCUCCGGUUGCCUGCUGCGGCGGCGAGCUCGGCUGGUCCCGAUCAGUUGCUGCACGAGAACUCAGAUCUUCUGGGGAAAUGGGCUGAGGCGGAGCGGCGAGCUGGUCGGUUGCGCAGGAGAGCGGGCGACGGUGGCGUGGCCGACGAGCAGCUUGGCGGCGGCGACGACGAGCGGAUGGGCAAAGGCGUGAG